GGCACAUAAUCUGAGUCAUCUGAGUCACUAUUGUUAUCAAUAUUUUCAACUAUAACAUUUCUUGCUGACUUCCUCCUUGCAAUCCUGAAACCUUGUGGCAUCUCAACAACCUCUGGCACCUCUUCAGCAACAUCAUCUUCCACCACUUCUUCAGUUCUUGCACCCAUUUCCCUUUUCACCUGUGGAACCUCUUUUACCACUUCCACUGCCUUUAACUGGAGAAGCUUCCAAGUCAAUGUAAAAAGGUGGAAGCUUCUGCUGAGAUUUCUCCUUGAUAACACAGAUAGGUUUACUUGGACUGAAGACCUUUGGCUCACAAAACCCUAACCCCCAAAAUCGAGUCUCCAUCAGUCAAUACCAACAAUCUACCACACGAACCGACUAGAUUGCAUAACAGUAAGGCCAAAUCGAUCCACAUCGCAUGCGCACAGAGAGAAAGAUGCACUCAUCGUAGAGGGGCGGUGGGUCGCCUUCGGGUCGCCGCGUUGGCGCCAUCAUUCCGGUCGUCCGUCCAGCGGCGUCGCGAAUCGAUCUUCGGCAACCAAUUUCCGCGGAAAAAACGGUCUCCGUCAACCGAUCGUCGACGAUCAAGCUGGCAACCUCCGUCGCCUCCGUCGCCUCCCCUCUCCCUUUACUCCCGUCUCUCUCUAUUCUUCUCCGCGUCGGGGGUUUCUUGGUGAAGGAUGGGAUGGGAGGGGGCAACUGAAAAACACGACCAAGUCUGACUAAAAAAGUUGGGAGGGGGGUUACUGCAAAAUAGUCGCCAAGACGGGCAUCUGUUUGUCCAUGCUCGCAGGGUUGACCGUCCGACGUGCCGUUGAAUUCGCACGUGUCCGUAAUUAAGGAUGAAAGUGAGCGCUUAAGCCAAGUUUAGGGAUUAAAAGAUGCAAAUCCUGAGUUGAGGGACUAAAGCGAGCCACGCGCCAAGUACAGAGACUGUUAGUGCAUUUUACUCGGCAAGUGGCAGUGGCAAGUCUAUAGAUGGCCAACGGGCCGGCCCGGCCCGGCUAGAGAUAAAUGGGCCUUGCCUGGGAACGGCCCGUUGAAGCCCGCCAAAAGAGGGGCCGGCUGGGACGGUCCGAAAACUCCUCCUUCAAGUCCAGACGCGGCACUAAGCCCGGUCGGGCCAGCCCGGGUCCGUUAAGGCUCGGGGCCUGAGGAAGCCCACCUCACCACACAUGGGCCAAAUCGGUGCAAAAAAGAAAAAAAAAGGGUUGGGCUAGGCCAAAACAUAAAGAAAUGGUGGGGCUAAAAGAUAAAAAAAGAUGGGUUGGGAUAGAUUUGAGAAAGUUAAUUGUAAAAUGUUCUAAUCCUAAUAAAAAUAAAAAUAAAAAUAUAAACAGGCUGUGUCGGGCCGGUCCAAGGACGUGAGGUUGAAGCCUAGGCAGGGCCUCGAAAAGGCCAGCCUGAUUAAUUUUAUGCCGGGUCGGACGCAAACGGACGAAAUCGGUGGGCUUUCAGCUUUUUCAAAAUGGCCCGGCUCGAUGGCCAUCUAUAAUGGCAACCAUGAGUGUUCUGUUCUAAAAAAAAUAAAGAAAAGAGAGACUAACAUAGGAAGAGUAAAAUAAAUAAGAGAAAAGUUGAUUUAAAUCUUAAGUGCAUGAGUAUGUGAGCAAGAUAGGGGAAAUUUGACAGCAUGACGAACAACACAGGAGGGCUGAGCUGAGCUCCCGACGCCGUUGACCACUCCGGCGUCCACUUCCCAUACCGCCGACCACUCCUGUUACGACGACCACCUCUAAACACUGUCGGCCUUUCCAACCUCGGCAACCGUCUCCAAGCCGGCACUGUCAACAUUUUUCAGAUGAUGAGAAGCAUUGAUGUUUGGGCC
rnacentral:lncRNA from 1 species